rnacentral:lncRNA from 1 species
CUGGCUCUCUGUGCCGCGGAGGGCUGUGAGCCUCUGGGUGGCCGGGUGCGGGAAUCGUGGCACUGCAGGCAGACGCAUCUCCUGCAGACUCAAGGUCUGCGAGCUUGGGGAAGAGACAGUUAAAGCUUCCUGUGAGAGCGAGUUACAGCACACAGCACCAGUGCCAGGUCAGCAGUCUGCGUGGAGCUCGGACGUGGCUGGUGGCGCCAGGCGGUGCCAGGCUCCGGUGGCAGCGCUUUUGAGGGCUCCUGAUGCAGACUCCAGGCUGCAGCCUAGCCAAAGCUUUAACUGCCGAGCCGGUGGGGAACUGCGCACCAGCCGGAACUCCCCGGACAAGCCAGGCUGCAAACACAUCACCCAUGGACACCCUGGCUGCUACCAGGACAAAGGAGCUCUGCACAGGAUGAACAAACAUCCUCCUAGAAAUGAUCGAGAAGAAAUUCACAUCUGCAUUCCGGCUUCGGACCUGAGGGUGAUAUCUCAGAAAUGAAGGAACUGAGCUCUGGGAGGUGGAGACCUUUGCGGGAUCAUAAACCUGGUCAUUAGUGGCAGGAAUAAUGUGCUGCCACUGCCUGCUGUGCCUCUGGCCUGUCGUUAGGACAGAAAUCUGGUGGACCCAUCUUGAACUGAACCACUAAAAUAAAAACUCUCUUCCAAUCCCGCACUUCCCUGUACUUGUGCUUAAUAGCUUCUUGGACCUUCCUUCACAUCUCUGGCUUCCUUUUCAUCCUGUGAAAGCAUGGAGAUUACAUUUUCCCUGUCUUCUAGGUCCAUCAUAAAAACCAGCUAGACCAUGCUUACAAAGAGCUUCUGAGAGCACCUGGACCCAAGUUGGGGACAACCUUCAUUACCCCUGUUCUACCUGCCUCAAACUCCAUGCAGUUGUCUGCAAAAUGGGUAUUGAUCUCACAUCCUCUGAAGGUCACAGUAGGAUUUGCUUAAAAGAUAAUGUGCAAGAGCCAGCAAGUAGUAUUUACUGUGGGUCUUCUUGCUACUGAUGUUAAAAGCUACAUAGAAAGAGGAGGAACCUGUGUCCGUUUUGUCUCUGUGAGCAUUUAAUCAUCUGGCCCCACACAGACCCUGGUCCACAGGGCUUACAAGGCAGCGAGAGAGGAUGACAGACAUGCUGAAAAGCACUUCUCACAUGCAGCCAGCAUUUUUGUGGCGUUUUUAUGGGAGGAAGAGAAGGGAUGGUGCCUGGAAGCUUUCUCACAUCAAUUUUCAUUAUGAACUCGUCUCAACUUAAUAAAAGGCAAGAUUAGUGUUACUGUAUCCAGUGUUAUAUCAUCUAGUCCUGGGCCAGGGUGGGAGGAUGGAACAGUGGGAGACACCAGGUGGCCUCUCUUAGCCUUGGGUCUGUGUGUCCCACGUCACUCCAUUUGUUUGCCCUGCACACCCUACUGGACCAGAGGCCAGAACUAUCUGCGGCUGAGGAUCUCUGGGGACAGUUUAGACCCACAAAUGACAGUCUGCUCUUGGUGAGUCCAGAGCAAAACACUCCAGCCUGUGAUGUGGGUGUGGCUAGGUCAGGGCGUAGCCUGUAGGCUCUUCGGGGUGGACUGGCCAGUCUACAUCAGAAUGAUUCCAGGCAUCUUGGAAGAUGAUUCUAGAUGGUUUUCCCUGAGAAAGGAAGUUGAACCUUGAGCUUUUGAUUUGAAGAUUGCAUGGUUUCCCUUAUAUGAGAAACCGGAAGUAUAAAUACAUUAACGAGAAAAAUAAAAGAUAGAUGAUAGGAAACAGGGAGAGAGAUCUUUUGCAAUAGGGAAAGGACUCUAGAGGUGGAGGGAUGAGAAGGAGGGGAGAGAAAUGGGAUGGAAAAAGAAUUACGAUAUGUUGUGUAUACGUACUAACUUCUCACAGGGAAUGUAAUCGUCAUGUACUGCAAACACGGACUAGUAAAAUAAAAAUUUAAAAAGAUUAAAAAUAAUACACUAUGGACAUCGUGGUGCAUGCCUCUAAUCUCAGCACUCUGGGAGUCUGGGGUAGGAGGAUUGCUACAAAGGCUGUGGGUUCAACUGCCCGUACCACAACAAAUAAAUCAC